rnacentral:rRNA from 1 species
GGUCAAGCGGGAUAAGGCGCAUGGUGGAUGCCUUGGCAUCAAGGGCCGACGAAGGGCGUAGCAAGGCUGCGAAAAGCCUCGGUCAGCUGCCGAGCAAGCUUAGCCGGGGAUACCCGAAUGGGGCAACCCGUCCUUCCUUAAAGAAGGACACCCCCAGCUGAACACAUAGGCUGGGAGGAGGUAAGCAGGGGAAGUGAAACAUCUCAGUACCCUGAGGAAAAGAAAUCAAAAGAGAUUCCCUGAGUAGUGGCGAACGAAAGGGGAACAGCCCAAACCCUGUAGGCUUAGUGGCUCUGGGGCCUAUGCUUAUGGGGGGUUGUAAGUCAGGCAGGACUUUAGCCCAGUCUAAGGUCGAGGAGUUACAAACCAAACUCUAGUUGAAGGUCUCUGGAAGGGGCAACCAUAGAGGGUGAGAGUCCCGUAAGCGAAAGGGGUAAGCUCCUUGCCUGUACUUGAGUACCACGGGACACGAGAAAUCCUGUGGGAAUCUGCCCUGACCACAGGGCAAGGCUAAAUACCCUUGAUGACCGAUAGUGAACCAGUACCGUGAGGGAAAGGUGAAAAGAACCCCGGGAGGGGAGUGAAAUAGAAUCUGAAACCAUGUGCUUACAAGCAGUCGGAGGAGCUCUUCGGAGCUCUGACGGCGUGCCUAUUGAAGAAUGAGCCGGUGAGUUAAUCUGUGUGGCUGGUUAAGUCAUUUAAAUGACGGAGCCGUAGCGAAAGCGAGUCCUAAUAGGGCGACUUUGUUGCACGGAUUAGACCCGAAGCCGGGUGAGCUACCCAUGGCCAGGGUGAAGCUUCGAUAAAAUCGAAGUGGAGGCCCGAACUGGUCAGUGAUGCAAAACUGUCAGAUGAGCUGUG